GUGAAUCAUCGAAUUUUUGAACGCAAAUUGCGCUUCCUGGUAUCCCGGGAAGUAUGCCUGUUUGAGGGUCAGUAUUAACAUAAAUCGUUUUGGUUGUAAAUUUUGACGUUUCUGUAGUUUGGGUUUAUCUUAACUUUUUUGGUUAAGGGGCUUAAAUUUGACCUUUUUUGCGCUUUUUUAGACGUACAUAAAUUUUUUUUAUUCGUCUAUUCUUUAUGCUAAAAUCUUAUUAGAUGCGAUAACAUCGUAUGGCUUCGUGUCU
rnacentral:misc_RNA from 1 species